rnacentral:lncRNA from 1 species
AGAAAGGAGAGGAUGCCCGUUCCUGUGAGAGGCAGAGGAAGGCCGGCACCGCGGAGCCCAGAGAGGGCUUGCAGAGCACAGGAGCGGUCACCGGGCCGAGCCAGGGCGCCAGGGGCCCUGCGCACAAGCGGCGGAGAAGCCCCGACGGCCGCCCCGACGGUCACUGUGGAGAGAACCGACCGCAAGCGGCGGAGCCGGCGGGGGAAGGACGGUCUCCCGCCCGCGGGCGCAUCGAGGGACCGCCCGGCCGGGGAGGUGGGCGUCGGGGCGGGCUCUGCAGCCCGGGUGCUCCCGUGGGGGGCGGCGCGGGGGAGGGGGACGAGCGGCCAACCGGGCACCCCGGGCGGGGGGGGGACCAGCCCUGCGGGGCGGGGAGGGCGUGCGAGGCGGGCGGGGCAGGGGCAGCGGUGGGGCGCGCUGGGCGGUGCUGCUGGGUGGUGCUGGGCGGCGGGGCCCCGGCGCGGACGAUCCCCCCCCCCCGGCCUCGGGCGCUCACCGACACCCCGUCCUCUCUCCCUGCGCAGGCGCUGCCCAGCGUCCGCGGCGCCUCGCGGGCAGGACCACCCGGCCCGGGCGCCAGCCAGGCCCGCCGGCCGCGGACGCCGCCGAGACCCCCGCGAGCCCCGCCCCGCGUCCCCGAAGCGCCGCCGCCCGCCGGGCCCCGAGGCGCGCGAGCCCCUGGCGGCCGUGGGCCCCCGGCUGUGGCGGCGGCUGGGCGCGCUGGAGGUGGCCCUGGCCGAGCUGCGCGCCCCGGGGGGCGCCUUCCUGGCCGCGCCGUGCGGCCGCCCGCAGCCCGCCGCCUCGCAGCGCGCCUGGCUCUCCUGGCAGCUGGCGCACGCGGGCGCCCCCCUGCACUGGGCGGCCGCCCGGCUCCACCGCCUGCUGGCCGCGCCGCCCGGGCCUAGGGGCGCCCUGCCCCCGCCCGGGCACCCGCCGGUCCCGGGAGCCCGCCCGCCCGCCGACAGCAACCUGCCGACCAAAGCCUUCCUGGCCCCCGGCGGCGACGGCGUCUGUGGUCUGUGCCCCCGCGUCCCCGGAGUUGCCCAGCUGUAUUUGAGCAACGCGAUGCACCUGGGGGGGUGGGGGGGUGGGGGGGAGCCCGGGCGUGCCCAGGGAGGCCGCUGGAAGCCAAGCAACUGGCGCCGUGAGCGGUUUCGCAGGGUGUGUGAUGCCCCGGCGAGGAGCCCUCGCCUCCUUCCCCGUGGGUCCCUGGGUUUCCAGAUGUUGCAAUAAAAGUACAACGACUUCAAACCUCUGCUCUGCGACCGUGUAUUCUGUGAGUCUCUCGAAUCGUUUGUUCACCUUUGCUUCUCCUGUCUCAGGGCUUCCUCGUACGAACAGUAGCGAGAUUUUAUUUGUCAUCCGAGGAUGCACAGAGGUGUCCGUGCACACAGCACUACAAGGCUCACAGGUGCCCCACGACCCCAAACCCACGCAAGCCGCACUGCCGUCAAGACACGGGAUACUCCUGGCUUGUCUCUCUGCAAUCACGACACCACCCAACAUCACCUCUUCCCUUAAGGGAUUCCUUUGGACACACAGAGCUUUCCAGGUCACAUCCCUGAUUUACCUGCAUAGUCAUCGAGUUUCCCACGUGCGUGGCACACCACUCACUCCUGGACUCUUCCUUCGUCUCUUUAUCUAAUAAAAGAGAGAGAUGAUGCGCCUGGGCCAUGUGGGAUGGGCUGCGGUGGCAAGAGCCCUGGCGAUGAGAACUUUGAGAGUUGAGGUCCUUGGCGCAGAAAAUGUGGAGGUAUUUUUGCAAGGGAACCCUGUCUGUUGAAGAGAAAGGAGAAGGGUGAGGACCCUAGGAUGGAUGGAGGAACAGAGGUCCAUGAAGACCCUGGGUGGAGGUGGGGGUGGGGAGCUCAGAGGAGAUCAAGAAGCUUCCAUGUUGGGGAUCCCUGGGUGGCUUAGCGGUUUAGCGCCUGCCUUUGGCCCAGGGUGCGAUCCUGGAAUCCCCAGAUCGAGUCCUGUCUGGCUCCUGGCAUGGAGCCUGCUUCUCCUUCUGCCUGUGUCUCUGCCUCUCUCUCUGUCUCUAGGUCUAUCAUGAAUAAAGAAAAGAAAGAAAGAAAGAAAAGAAAGAAAGAAAGAAGCUUCCAUGUUCUCCUGGGUGAAGAUGAGGGUUGGACAGUGGCCCUGGCCCAUGCACAUGCAAUUCCUUGGAUGUGAAAUGCUGUCCAAGCCCAUUCUUGCUCACCCCUCACCCCUCAAGGUAAAUGUCCUGGGGGUAGGGGGGUUCAAAAUUGCUCAGAGUUGAUUAGAGCUCUCCUGGCAUCUGUGUAUUUCCUAGAAGCCCUUAUCAUAGUUGCAGUUUCACGUUUCCAGUGUGUGCUUAUUUGAAUGAGAGUGGUCUCCUCCCCUGGAUCCUUAGCUCCCUGAGGGCAGGAGCUGCGUUUAAGUUUUUUCUCACCAUUGCAUUCACGAUGCUUGUCAUAGUUCCUGGUAUAUGAUAGAUGCGCGGUAAAUACUUAUUGAGUAUGGAGUUAUUGAAUGACUGAGAGAGCGUUGAUAUGGGGGAUCACGCAGUUCUCCUUCCUUCCCUGGUACGGCCCUACAGGAGAUCGGUUUGUAGGACAUUUCCUAGAGACUGUUGUAAGACCUUCUCCAUAGUCAGGAGCCAAAAUUAGCUGGGCUGAUUUAGGGAACAGAGUGACAAACUCAGGUACCUUAAUUGUGCAUACAGUGAGGUCAGCUGAUAGCGAAGGAAAUAAUAGAAUUCAUCAAAAGUAGAGACGAUUUCCAGCCGUUUCUUUGAUACCACAAUUUUUAAAAACUCAUUUGAAAAUGUCUUACUUAAUGUUUACCAAAACUCAUAGGUCAAUAUACAACCCACCAGUGAUCCUUACAGUCUUUACAGAAUUAAUUCAACAAUAGGAUUUUGUCUUUUUCUGUUUAUCUUGAAGUAGGAAACCGGCUGACUCUGCAAUGUGGGGAAAUGAUGGAGCUUUGUUUGUAAAUUGAAAAAUUUCUAGUAACCAUCCCAUUCUUACCAAAUUUUUUUAAUUAAGUUUGUAUCUUUAAGCAAUGUUUAUACACAACGUGGGGCCUGAACUCAACCCUGUCAUCAAGAGCUACAUUCUCUAUGGACUGAGCCAGCUAGGAAUCCUUCACCCAGGAAGUCUACUCCCUCGUUUUCUCUUUACAUUUCUCUCUUCCUUGCUUUUCCCUUUCCUCUUCAGAGCAGGAAUAUCCUCAGGCAGCUUCUCCUCUGCUUUUCCACCUAGUUCUCUCUCUCAACACUGUGCUUCUCAAAGGGUAUCGGAGGAUGACUGGUCAAUACUAGAAUUAAGGUGGCUUGGAGAACUGUUACCGCUUAGAACAGUAUUUUUGUUUACAGAUAUGGUGGAAUUUGUGAAAGAGGACUAUUUUCUUUUAAUGUUUUAUUUAUUAAUUUAUUCAUGAUGAGAAAGACAGAGAGCAAGGCAGAGACAUAGGCAGAGGGAGAAGCAGGCUUCCUGCGGUGACCCCAAUUUGGGACUUAAUUUGGUCUCAGGACCCCGGGAUCACCUCCUGAGCCAAAGGCAGAGGCUCAACCACUGAGCCACCCAGGUGCCCUGAGGAGAACUAUUUAAAUAAAAACCUGGAGACACUGUCCUGCCCCUCUUCUUUCUGAGCUAGCUGUCAGCAGGUAGAGAGCAAUUUAAAAAAAAAUCUAAAUAUUGGACCUCUAGGAUUGUAAUAUCAGGGUCAAUUAAUUGAGGAUUCUAUUUGAGGAGCAUGUAAAGCAACCUUUCACAUCCAGAAGUUGAGGAUGGGAGAAUGCUCAGUCUGGAACACAGGGAAGAGGGUUGUGUCCCCAUAAGUCAAAGAGAAAUCUCAAUUAGCCUUCAUUUUUCACUGAGUCUUUAGUUUUCUGUUGCUCCAUAAGAAAUUAUCACUAACUUUACUGAAUUGAAACAACACAAAUUUAUUAUCUCAGGAUUUCAGUAGGUCAGAAAUCUGACUGUGGCAUGACUCAAGGUCACAGAAAGGUGAAAUCAAGGUGUUAGCUGGAUUGUGUACUAUCUAGAGGCUCCACUAGGGAAGGAUAUGCUUCCAAGCUCCCUCAGAUUGUUAGCAGAAAUCAUUCCUUGCUGCUGAGGGCAGAGGUCCUUGUUGUCUUGCUACUUGUAGAGCAAAAAAACUACUCUCAGCUCCCAGAGGCUGAUUUCAAGUCCUUGCCUUGUGGCCCCUCCACCGGCCUGUUUAAAUUUGUAAUUUUGACUUCAGGAAGGGGCCAGUCCCCUGUAAGGGCUCACCUGAUUGGGUCAGGUCCACCCAGGAUAAUCUCCACGUUUAUGAACUCAAAAUCAACCUUUUGGGAUCUUAUCCUGGAAGUGAUAUCAUUGAUUCCUGGAAGAGAGAGGAUCUUAUGAGAGUGUUAACAUCCGGGGCAGAGAUAACGGGGGCCGUAUUAGAAUCCUGCUUAUCACAGUGUUUACAACAUACUCUGCAAGGCUGUAAAAUCGAUGCCACAGGAUUAGGGAAAACACGUUGAGCUAGUUUGAGAAUAAAUGAGAAGCAUCGCAUGGCGGUUUGUGGAACAACAACAAAAAUUGUUAGGAAAACAAACAAACAAAAAUCAAUAAUAGGAUGGGGGAGGGUGGCUCAGCGGUUGAGCGUUUGCCUUCUGCUCAGGGCGUGAUCCCGGGAUCUGGGUUCGAGUUCCGCGUCGGGCUCCCUGAACAGAGCCUGCAUCUCCCUCUGCCUAUGUCUCUGCCCCCCGCCCCCCCGUCUCUCAUGAAUAAAUAAACAAAUCUUAAAAAAAAAAAAAAAAAAAGGAUGGGGAGACUAGGCCGAAAACUGUCCCGAAUUCAAGUGGCCUAGGGAGUCUUGAGCUCCGCGAAGGCGACACACUGAGAUUAGAUUAAGAGGCCGAGGCGACCAGAUGCAGCCACUGCUGGCUGAGGGAUAACUAGUCCUUUAUUCAUCGAAGUGGAAGGUGAGAAACGGGGUGUGUUUGUCUCUGGAAAAAGGAAC